rnacentral:rRNA from 1 species
GACGAACGCUGGCGGCGUGCUUAACACAUGCAAGUCGAACGGAAAGGCCUCUUUCGGGGGGUACUCGAGUGGCGAACGGGUGAGUAACACGUGAGUAACCUGCCCUUGACUUUGGGAUAACUUCAGGAAACUGGGGCUAAUACCGGAUAGGAGCUCCUGCUGCAUGGUGGGGGUUGGAAAGUUUCGGCGGUUGGGGAUGGACUCGCGGCUUAUCAGCUUGUUGGUGGGGUAGUGGCUUACCAAGGCUUUGACGGGUAGCCGGCCUGAGAGGGUGACCGGCCACAUUGGGACUGAGAUACGGCCCAGACUCCUACGGGAGGCAGCAGGGGGGAAUAUUGCACAAUGGGUGGGAGCCUGAUGCAGCAACGCCGUGUGCGGGAUGACGGCCUUCGGGUUGUAAACCGCUUUCGCUCAUGACGAAGCUUUGUGUGACGGUAGUGGGUAAAGAAGCACCGGCUAACUACGUG